GUGGGGAAUUUUGGACAAUGGGCGAAAGCCUGAUCCAGCCAUGCCGCGUGCAGGAUGAGGGCCUUCGGGUUGUAAACUGCUUUUGUACGGAACGAAAAGACUCUUUCUAAUAAAGAGGGUUCAUGACGGUACCGUAAGAAUAAGCACCGGCUAACUACGUGCCAGCAGCCGCGGUAAUACGUAGGGUGCGAGCGUUAAUCGGAAUUACUGGGCGUAAAGCGUGCGCAGGCGGUGAUGUAAGACAGAUGUGAAAUCCCCGGGCUCAACCUGGGAACUGCAUUUGUGACUGCAUCGCUGGAGUACGGCAGAGGGGGAUGGAAUUCCGCGUGUAGCAGUGAAAUGCGUAGAUAUGCGGAGGAACACCGAUGGCGAAGGCAAUCCCCUGGGCCUGCACUGACGCUCAUGCACGAAAGCGUGGGGAGCAAACAGGAUUAGAAACCCGGGUAGGCC
rnacentral:rRNA from 1 species